AGAGUUUGAUCCUGGCUCAGGACGAACGCUGGCGGCGUGCUUAACACAUGCAAGUCGAGCGGAAAGGCCCUUCGGGGUACUCGAGCGGCGAACGGGUGAGUAACACGUGAGGAACCUGCCCCUAGCUCUGGGAUAGCUUCGGGAAACCGGAAUUAAUACCAGAUAUGACCACUGUUGGCAUCGACAGUGGUGGAAAGAUU
rnacentral:rRNA from 1 species